CUGGGAGCAAAAUGGAGGAGGAAUGAGGGACAGGGAAAGCAGAGGCCACUCAGGAUAUUUCAGUCAGAGAUCUCAUCCCAAUACUUCCAAGUCUCGAGGUAGGAAAGGGGCAGCAGCAGCAGAGGGAGGAGGUGGACUGCGGGCAUGCAUCUGAGCAAGGCCCCAGGUGGUGUGGGGAACAGAAGUGAAGGGUACAGAGGGUCAGUGAGGUCUCCCAGGGUCUCACUGGGAGCAGUGAUGAGAAUACAGAACACAGGAGCCAGGGUACAUUUGAGAGGAAGGAGAUCAAUUCCGCCUGCAGGGAGAAAGGCAACUGCAAUGGGAGCCGUGGGCAUCCUUGUGGGGAUGUUUAGAGCGGGCUGGAUGCUUUGCUUGGAGUUCAGGAGGUCUGGCGGGAAAGGGGAGGUGAGGGGACGUCAGCUCCAAGGUGGGAUCUGUAGCCUGGACUGGACCAACUCUCCCAGGGAUGCUCGAGGGACGGGGCUUGUCGAGGAUCCCUGGGGCUCGUACAAUAAAGGCCAAGGCGAGGUGGAGGAUACACACAAGGAAGCCAUUGUUUAUCUUGCUAACUCUCAAUGCAGAUGUUUACUACUUCCCAUUCUGAUGACAUUCUCCCUUCCAGAUAUGUUUUUUUCAGAAGGAAUCAAACCCAAGAGUAAUGAUGGCUAAUUACAAAAAUUUAAGAACAUCCAUUCACAGGAUCCAAACAAUAUAAUCACCAACUACACGGCAAACUUGAAGGGCCUUUAUGAAGGUCAGGGAGUGGCAGGAUCCUGUCUCCAGCUGCCCUUUUAUCCUCUGGCUUAGGCUGACCUGGAGACAGGAUCCUGCCACUCCCUGACCUUCAUAAAGGCCCU
rnacentral:lncRNA from 1 species